GACAGUUCACUGGUAGUUCAGGGACACGCUGACCAAAGUCCUCUGCACCCGCAUUUUAAAAAGCAGAUGGCAAACCCAGUUAAGUCAAAUGUGCCACAGGCAGCGGAGCUACAGCAGGUGGCAGGAAUGAGCACGAAGCAGACUCCUGCGACAUUCCUCACACCUCCCCGUCCAAGAGGCUCAGACACUGAUAAUGAGGUUACAGCAUUUCCAAGCGGCAGCAACAACCUCACGCCACAUCAGCAUGUUUUAGCCUGCUUAGCUGAAAGCGGGCUUAUCUGGGACCCUUUUCGGGCAAGGCAUGCCAGUGUGCUCGGCUGCUUCUAUUCCGAUCCAGAUGCAGCAGGAGCGACGGCCUCCCACGACCGACUCUCCACCACUUUGACAACCGAUACUCUGUUACGACCUGACAACUUGCUUCACACCCCUGCGCGGCAAAUGGCGCGGGAGGUUCAUGGUGGCCACGGCGUUCUCAGGUCAGCUCAAGGUCUUGAGAAAUUCACGUCGGAAAAAUAUUCACUUGACACACUGUCCCAAGCCAAGGCUAAAAAAACAAGAAGUAGUUAUUAUACUUAAAAGUUAGAGUUGACGUCAGUGGACAGAUGGAACAGAAAACGAUGAUGGAAAGAGGAUAUUAACUAUAAAUACACAUUAAUAGCACCAUAAUUAUACCCAUAAAACUACACAUGGUAGAAGAAGAAGAAGAUGUGUGUGAUAAAUAAGCCAUCAAACAAAGUAUUAACCUCAAGGCUGAGUGGGUGUUUGGGAAAAAAAGUUUUUAAAUAAAGUUUCAUUAGUUUUCAAGGAUUCUUGAUGUCGUUAUUUGGCUGCAGAGACAACCGUCCCUUUUCCUCCAGCCCCUCUUCUGGACUAGCGCCCUGUUCGGGGGCUCAUGACCUCUGGGCCAAGAGAACGUUAACCCAGACCCUGGCUUGAGUUGGCUGAGCUGGACGCUGCUGCCACCUCCUGACUAAACAUCUAACUUACAGAUUCAGAGCGUCAUCUCAUGCUGUUUUUCUUUCAUUCAACCACCACUGGUCUCAUGUCUGUGUCUGGUGACAGGAUGGUAACAUUUGAAUUGGAGUAUUGUUAGAUAUGAUAUCAUUAAGUCCUGGAGCUACACUCGUAGAUCUUACUGGAGAUUUGUUCUCAUUUCCCCCCACUGCUUAUUACCAGACAGUAACCCACAGCCAAAUGGGUGACAGCAGCACAUCUGAUGCUUAACCUUUGUGCUUGUGGCUGUGGGAAGAAGCCAAAGCACACACAUAAAACUCAGGCUUACACAGGCGUCUGGGAUCUGUUCGGAGACACUGGUUACACUGGGACAAGUAGGACUUUUCUAAAUCUGGGGCCAUAAGGGUCCAAUUAUAUGUCCAUUAAGUCAUUCCUUGUUUACUUAAAGCUCUUUGAUUUAAAGUAUAGAAUACAAUCAUAUUUCAUCUGUCAGUGACCGCUGGAUCUAUCCCUUCUAUUUGGGAGAACACUAGGUGGCACUUUUAUUAGCAGUUGCAAGAAUUAGGGCUCAUCAAUUUUACAUGUAUUAGAAAUGGUUAAAACGCUAAGAAAUACACAAAUAAAUAAAUAUUUGGAGAGGAGAUCGGGGUCAAACACAGGCCAUCGUGCUCCGACCUACUGUAAGUGAGAUGAUCAAUAACCAGAGUAAUUGUACUCCACCAGUAAGUUACUGCACACAGUAGACUCAUCAACAUACUUCCACAACAGAUAUAGAGGCUAGAUCUUUAUCAAUGGCCUCUUCUCUAGCAUCAACAUCACACAGGUUUGUGGUGCUGUGUUUCUAGUCAGCUGAGCAUCUCCAGUGAAAGCAGCUCUUGUUAAAGGUCAUUGAUGUCUUCUGGCCCAAGGUGACCUCUCAUUCAAACACUUUAUUGAUAUUUGCUGUAGGACUAGGGGCGAUUUUUGCAUGUAAUAACCAGUAGAAUUUAUAAAUUUGAUGUCAACACCAUCACUGAUGCAGCUUCUAAAAUAAACCGAUUCUCCGCAGAUGAAAACAGGCAAAUAUCUUGUUGUUAAAACAGAGAGGCUGAAAGGAUCCAGCAUCUUAUUGUAUCACAUCUCAUUAUAUGACUUAUUUGACCUCAUCUCAUCUAAUCAUAUCUUAUCUAUUCUCAUUUUACUGUAUCUAAUACGCGGCAGACCUUCCAAUCCACCAUGAACGGCUAUUUCAAGAAACAAAACGCUAAAGCUUUAGGAAUGACCCUCUCGGUGACCUCUGACCUGAACAUGAGAAUGCUUGCAGCUUCACAUUGACCCUGCUGACAUGGAUCAUAGCUUCAAGGCCAACAGCCUGUUUUCCGAUCACUACAACAAUCACACACAUCAUGUCAGACUUCACCAGGACGUCAGAGCCUCCUCUGUGCAGCCAGUUUGUGAAAGUGAAUGAAUCAAUAAUGAGCUGAAGUAGCUUGACGUCCAUAAACCACAAUGACAGUCAGCUGUCAGCGGCUGUGGCCCCGCCCCCAUGGAAUGGUCGCAUUACUCAAAGCAAACUUUGCGCAACACAACUUUCAGCUUCAGAUGCUUAAAUCACAUUUGCAUUACUUUGUAUUCCAUGUAAGACAGCUGCUUUCCACAGAUGGGGCCUACACCGGGGACAGUGCACCCAGAGCCGGGUCCGAACAGUGAGAAGAACCCGGGGGCUGCUGGUGGGACUGAAGGGGUCAUGUGAUCAGUGCCUGACGAAUCAGCGUCUAUGUCCAGAAACAAUUCAGCCCUCAAGUUUGUGGACUGUAAAGUCGUGUGGACACCAGGCGUAACUAGUCAGGAGAUGGUGUGCUCUCAAAUGAAAACGUAGUUGUCUUCCUCCUCUGUUAAUGGAGGAAGAUAUUUAGCAUCUUAGGUUGUCUUUAAUCAAAAACAGAGAAUUAGACAUCACUGAUGGAACAUGUGGCAUCUAAAUAUGAGACUAUGGUCAUAAGAGUGUUGAUGUAUUAUGCUGGAAAAGGCAUCAUUGUUUCAGUAGUCCUUGUUUUGGAGUUGUGCUAAGUAUUUUUUUUUGUGUACCUUGUGAUUGACUUGUACUUUAAUUAAACCAUUAACAUGAAA